rnacentral:rRNA from 1 species
GACAGAGGAUGCAAGCGUUAUCCGGAAUGAUUGGGCGUAAAGCGUCUGUAGGUGGCUUUUUAAGUCCGCCGUCAAAUCCCAGGGCUCAACCCUGGACAGGCGGUGGAAACUACCAAGCUGGAGUACGGUAGGGGCAGAGGGAAUUUCCAGUGGAGCGGUGAAAUGCGUAGAGAUUGGAAAGAACACCAAUGGCGAAAGCACUUUACUGGGCUAUCACUGACACUGAGAGACGAAAGCUAGGGUAGCAAAUGGG